UUUUAAAAUAAAAAAAAAAAAUUAACCGCUCGGUAACUUUUAUCUCUCUUUCAUCUUCUUUCUGACAUACUCUUUCAUCCUUCUCUUCUCUUCCCUUUUUUCUUCUGAAACUCAUUCUCUUCCCUUUUUUCUUCUGAAACUCUCAUUUUCACACCGCCAUUGUCUCGUCGAUUGCCUGUUCAUCUUCCGUGCUUUCUGUGUUUUUGCAUUGUGAAGAAGAAAAAAUAACGAAGGAACAAAACAUAAAUUUAGAGUUUUUAUAGUGAAAGAAUUACAAAAAUGAGAAAGAAAGGAAAAGGAAAAUCAAAGGAAAGAGAACGAACGGGACCACCUGGAACUGCUGGAUGGGGUUUAAUGGAUGAGAGCGAUAGUGACGAAGUGGUGGAAGUGUCACCAGGUUUUGAAUUUUUUCAAAUCAACCUUCACAUUAAUGGGGCAUUGGGGGAAUGGGGUUACCAUGAUGGGGAAGUGUCCACCG